rfam:Gorilla gorilla gorilla genomic chromosome, chr6, whole genome shotgun sequence
GUCAGGCAUGGUGGCUCAUGCCUGUAAUCCCAGCUCUUUGGGAGGCUGAGGCAGGUGGAUCACCUGAGGUCAGGAGUUCAAGACCAGCCUGGCCAACAUGGUGAAACCCUGUCUCUA